GGCACUGUGGCUUAGUGGGUCAAAGCCCCUGUCUCGUAAACAGGAGAUCCUGGGUUCAAAUCCCAGCAGUGCCU